rnacentral:rRNA from 1 species
AUUGAACGCUGGCGGCAGGCCUAACACAUGCAAGUCGAGCGGCAGCACGGGUACUUGUACCUGGUGGCGAGCGGCGGACGGGUGAGUAAUGCCUAGGAAUCUGCCUGGUAGUGGGGGAUAACGCUCGGAAACGGACGCUAAUACCGCAUACGUCCUACGGGAGAAAGCAGGGACCGUUCGGGCCGUUGCGCUAUCAGAUGAGCCUAGGUCGGAUUAG